rnacentral:rRNA from 1 species
AUUGAACGCUGGCGGCAUGCCUUACACAUGCAAGUCGAACGGCAGCACGGGUGCUUGCACCUGGUGGCGAGUGGCGAACGGGUGAGUAAUAUAUCGGAACGUACCUUAUCGUGGGGGAUAACGCAGCGAAAGCUGCGCUAAUACCGCAUACGCCCUGAGGGGGAAAGCGGGGGACCGUAAGGCCUCGCGGCGAUUAGAGCGGCCGAUAUCUGAUUAGCUUGUUGGUGGGGUAAAGCCCACCAAGGCGACGAUCAGUAGCUGGUCUGAGAGGACGAUCAGCCACACUGGGACUGAGACACGGCCCAGACUCCUACGGGAGGCAGCAGUGGGGAAUUUGGACAUGGACGCAAGUCUGAUCCAGCCAUUCCGCGUGCAGGAUGAAGGCCCUCGGGUGUAAACUGCUUUGUACGGAACGAAAACGGUCUCUCUUAAUACGGGGGGCUCAUGACGGUACCGU